ensembl:lncRNA
AUGUUGAGGAGAGUUGUGAUCCCUUCUCUAUCCUCCGUUAGUCAUCUGUGGUUUCAGUCGUGUGACCUCACAGAUUCACACAGAUUCACACAGAUUCACACAGGUUCACACAGAUUCACACAGAGGUUCACAGAGAUUCACACAGGUUCACCCAGAUUCACACAGAGGUUCACACAGAUUCACACAGAUUCACACAGGUUCACACAGAGGUUCACACAGAUUCACACAGGUUCACACAGGUUCUCACAGGUUCACACAGAGGUUCACACAGGUUCACACAGGUUCACACAGAGGUUCACACAGGUUCACACAGGUUCACACAGGUUCACACAGAUUCACACAGGUUCACACAGAGUUCACACAGAUUCACACAGGUUCACACAGGUUCACACAGGUUCACACAGAUUCACACAGGUUCACACAGGUUCACACAGAUUCACACAGGUUCACACAGGUUCACACAGGUUCACACAGAUUCACACAGGUUCACACAGGUUCACACAGAUUCACACAGGUUCACACAGGUUCACACAGAUUCACACAGAUUCACACAGGUUCACACAGGUUCACACAGAGGUUCUCACAGGUUCACACAGGUUCACACAGAUUCACACAGGUUCACACAGGUUCACACAGAGUUCACACAGAUUCACACAGGUUCACACAGGUUCACACAGGUUCACACAGAUUCACACAGGUUCACACAGGUUCACACAGAGGUUCUCACAGGUUCACACAGGUUCACACAGAUUCACACAGGUUCACACAGAGUUCACACAGAUUCACACAGGUUCACACAGGUUCACACAGGUUCACACAGAUUCACACAGAUUCACACAGGUUCACACACAGGUUCUCACAGGUUCACACAGAUUCACACAGAUUCACACAGGUUCACACAGAGGUUCUCACAGAUUCACACAGGUUCACACAGAUUCACACAGAUUCACACAGGUUCACACAGAGUUCACACAGAUUCACACAGAUUCACACAGGUUCACACAGAGGUUCUCACAGGUUCACACAGAUUCACACAGAUUCACACAGAUUCACACAGAUUCACACAGGUUCACACAGAGGUUCUCACAGGUUCACACAGAUUCACACAGAUUCACACAGGUUCUCACAGGUUCUCACAGGUUCACACAGAUUCACACAGGUUCACACAGAUUCACACAGGUUCACACAGGUUCUCACAGGUUCACACAGAUUCACACAGGUUCGCACAGGUUCUCACAGGUUCACACAGGUUCACACAGAUUCACACAGGUUCGCACAGGUUCUCACAGAUUCACACAGGUUCACACAGAGUUCACACAGAGUUCACACAGAUUCACACAGGUUCUCACAGAUUCACACAGGUUCGCACAGGUUCUCACAGAUUCACACAGGUUCACACAGAGUUCACACAGAGUUCACACAGAUUCACACAGGUUCACAAAGGUUCACACAGAUUCAGGGUUUCAGACUGAAGAGCUGGUGUUUGUGUUGGAGCAGACUUUAGCACAUGUUCACUCGAUCUGUUUUCUUCACACACAGUGUGUAUUAGAUCACUCUACUCUUGUAUUUCUACACUUUUAG